GACGAUCACGUACCCCUUUCAAAUUUUAAUGAAAGCUUGGACUGCCACAUUCAUGGCUGACACUUUAUUCCUCCUUUUUGGGAUAAAAGCUUACUCUUUUUUCUGAUGGCAAAUAUUUUUACCUCUUCCAAAAAUCUUAAAAGAUCUGAAGAAUCACAUGAGGAUCGCCGGAGUUGUAAUGUUCGGAUUCAAACGGUUCUUUUGACUGAAGUUCAAACCCUUGAUUUUAAAUUUUUGCACAAGAGAUCCCGCCUAAAAAUCAUCUCUCUGAACCCUAAUUUGUUUCUAUAAAUACUCUCUGUCAAAGGGAAGAUUUUGGAGCUGCCUACACUAGACAUAUGAACCAGCAAAACACUACUACUUUAUCACUCUCACUAUUGUUAUAGUCUCGCAAACUCGAAAGAGUCUCCGUCAAAAAACUUUUUCUUUUUUGUCUCGGUGAACUUUGGCCGUAAAAGAGGUAUUCGAGCUCAUUUGGCUCGAGGUUCGGAUCUGUUCAUGACGAGAGAGUAGAUUUGAGAUCGACGCCCUGAGUUCAUUGCCCUACAAGAGGUAAAAUCUGACCUUUCUCUGAAUUUGUCUUUCGUUUACAAACUUUGUGUCUGCUUAGAAAUUAUGGUAAAAAAGCGUGUAUAGUCAGAUUUAACAGUGUUAUUACUUACUAAUUGGAUGUCCAAAAGUCAUAAUAUUUGAAAUUGUUAGUAACCAUGUUCAUGAUUGUGAGUUAAGUAUAAAUAAAUGUAGUAGAAAUCAUGUUUAGGCAUUCUUUUAAUCGUGUGAAGAUUUGUGGCAGAUUCGGAUAGUUGUUGUGGUUUAAAAAUCACAUCUUUAGUUUCCCUUUAAGCCAAAAUCAUGAAGAACUUAUUUGUGAAUAACAUAUCUUGAGAUGUCUUAUUUGUGAUAAUUUCUUUAACCCGUGG
rnacentral:lncRNA from 1 species